rnacentral:lncRNA from 9 species
GGAAGGAGGAAGCCCGGCGAAGGGGACCCCAGGAAGUGACCUCACUUCCCUGGCAACAGAGCGCAACAGAACUUGGAACCUGGGUAGCCAGGCACCCACUUCUUCAGGAAAGGACAGAGGAAGGAUGGACUUGCUCUGUUGCGCCCCCAUCUCCCGAGGCCGAAGCCGCAGGAGAGGACGCAGAGGAGGAAACCUCAUUGAAAACAGCAGACGAUGGAUCAGCACACAGGGCAGACGCCUUCGGGCCUUUGCCCGCAGGGGCCCAGAGAGCCCCCCACCUGAGACCCGCCAGGAGCUGGGCGAGGAAGGCAGAAGGUCUCCAGUUG